rnacentral:tRNA from 1 species
AAGGAUUUAAGUUAAAAAAACUAAUAGCCUUCAAAGCUAUCAUUAGAAAAAAUUUCUAAGCCUUG